GAUGAACGCUGGCGGCGUGCUUAACACAUGCAAGUCGAACGAUGAUGCCCAGCUUGCUGGGUGGAUUAGUGGCGAACGGGUGAGUAACACAUGAGUAACCUGCCCUUGACUCUGGGAUAAGCCUGGGAAACUGGGUCUAAUACCGGAUACGACCAUCUGGCGCAUGUCAUGGUGGUGGAAAGCUUUUGUGGUUUUGGAUGGACUCGCGGCCUAUCAGCUUGUUGGUGGGGUAAUGGCCUACCAAGGCGACGACGGGUAGCCGGCCUGAGAGGGUGACCGGCCACACUGGGACUGAGACACGGCCCAGACUCCUACGGGAGGCAGCAGUGGGGAAUAUUGCACAAUGGGCGCAAGCCUGAUGCAGCGACGCCGCGUGAGGGAUGACGGCCUUCGGGUUGUAAACCUCUUUCAGUAGGGAAGAAGCGAAAGUGACGGUACCUGCAGAAGAAGCGCCGGCUAACUACGUG
rnacentral:rRNA from 1 species